rnacentral:tRNA from 14 species
AGCGUAGCUCAAUGGGUAGCGCGCUUGGUUCACGUGGACAAAGCGCGUUCGGUUCACGUGGACAGGGUCGUGGGUUCGAAUCCCAG